CCUACGGGUGGCAGCAGUGGGGAAUAUUGGACAAUGGGGGGAACCCUGAUCCAGCGACGCCGCGUGAGUGAAGAAGUAUUUCGGUAUGUAAAGCUCUAUCAGCAGGGAAGAAAAUGACGGUACCUGACUAAGAAGCCCCGGCUAACUACGUGCCAGCAGCCGCGGUAAUACGUAGGGGGCAAGCGUUAUCCGGAUUUACUGGGUGUAAAGGGAGCGCAGACGGCUUGGCAAGUCUGAAGUGAAAGCCCGGGGCUUAACCCCGGGACUGCUUUGGAAACUGUGAAGCUAGAGUGUCGGAGAGGUAAGUGGAAUUCCCAGUGUAGCGGUGAAAUGCGUAGAUAUUGGGAGGAACACCGGUGGCGAAGGCGGCUUACUGGACGAUAACUGACGUUGAGGCUCGAAGGCGUGGGGAGCAAACAGGAUUAGAUACCCCAGUAGUC
rnacentral:rRNA from 1 species